rnacentral:rRNA from 1 species
UAGCAGAGGGGGCAAGCGUUGUUCGGAAUUACUGGGCGUAAAGGGCGCGUAGGCGGCCGCUAAGUCGAACGUGAAUCCCCGGGCUCAACCCGGGAACUGCGUCCGAUACUGGCAGGCUUGAAUCCGGGAGAGGGAUGCGGAAUUCCAGGUGUAGCGGUGAAAUGACGUAGAUAUCAGCAGGAACACCCGUGGCGAAGGCGGCUUCCUGGAUCACCCCUGACGCUGAGACGCGAAGCGUGGGGAGCGAACGGG